rnacentral:rRNA from 1 species
GACGUAGGGCGCGAGCGUUGUCCGGAAUUACUGGGCGUAAAGGGCUCGUAGGCGGCCAACUAAGUCAGACGUGAAAUCCCUCGGCUUAACCGGGGAACUGCAUCUGAUACUGGAUGGCUUGAGAUUGGGAGAGGGAUGCGGAAUUCCAGGUGUAGCGGUGAAAUGCGUAGAUAUCUGGAGGAACACCGGUGGCGAAGGCGGCAUCCUGGACCAACACUGACGCUGAGGAGCGAAAGCCAGGGGAGCAAACGGG